AACCUAGCAUGGCCUUGAACUCUG
rnacentral:piRNA from 1 species